rnacentral:lncRNA from 1 species
GUGAAGGACAACAUUUUUGUGCGCAAAAUAAAACAUUUUAAUGCGCUACAAUCCAUUACACAUAUAGCCCUCCAUUUCCUUUCAGUAAUUAUUCAUUAGAAAACAUUUAACGUCACUGUGGAUUUCACACUAGGCAGUCCGGACACAAAGAACAAGAGAUGGCCCAUUUAUAAGGGGCUGGGGCGUUCUUUUCUAAUCUGAGAAACUCCAAGGAGGUGGGGCCCGCGAGACACAACAGGCAGGCUAAAUUGUGCGGUUAACGGUCAAAGCCCCCCUGCCUACUUUGACACUCAUUUAAAGAUGACAGGGAACAAUAGAGAUUUGUUCUGUGCAACCCUUUCUUGUUAUGCCGGCGACAUCAGCUCCGCACAUGAAACUGCCCGAUAUUUCAUUCCACCUGCCACCUCCCUCCCGCCUCGGUCGACUCUCUCCUCUGCUACUUUGCUUGUCCCCACUUUAACACAAAGAGACAGAGACAAGAGAUUCGACUGUGUUAGCCAGGAUGGUCUCGAUCUCCUGACUUCGUGAUCUGCCCGCCUCAGCCUCCCAAAGUGCUGGGAUUACAGGCUUGAGCCACUGUGCCUGGCUUCAGGCUGGGAUUUUUAUAGCUUAUUAUGGCAAGGGAGGAGACGGAGAGUAAAAGAAGAAGGAAGAGCAUACACAGUCACCCCUUGUGUGACAAAUAUGCAAGAAAUAAAGAUAAAUGUGUACAAUUCUUACAAUUUUACUUUUCUGAAUUUUGCUAUUGCACUGAAUGAUUUGUGAUAAGACAGAUGGGGAUGAAAAAUAUACUUAUUAAAUAAACAGCUAUUAAAAGCCCCUAAAACUCUUUAAAAUGGGAUCUUUUUGUUUGAUUACAGAAGAAUUACACCUUUAUUUUAGACAUUCUGGAAAAAAUGCAACAAAGAGAAUAAAAAUCAUUCAUAAUCCCACUGCUCAGAAAUUACCACUGCUGGCCAGGCGUGGUGGCUAACGCCUGAAUCCCAGCAAUUUGGGGGCUGAGGCGGGCAGAUCACCUGAGGUCAGGAGUUUUGAGAGACCAGCCUG